CGGGCGUGCGCGCUGCCGUGGACGUCAGGCGCGCGGGGAGCUCGGUUGCGCGCGGGCGCUGGGCGCGGCAUCGCGCGGUGUGCGCGCGGGGCGGCUCGGCGGGCAGCGGCUCGGUCGCUUGCAGGGCGCUUGGCCUGGGCGACGCAGGGGGUUCGGGUGUAGGAGAGUUGGGGAGGGGCGCUCGGUGGAGAGAGGAGCAGUCAGAGGUGGAAGAAGGGCGCCGAGCACAGGGAGCUUUGGACGCCAUGGAACAGGGAGGGCGCGGCUGGAGGAGCUUCGGCGGCCCUAGACAAAUGGAGCCCGCGCCAUGGCUGGAGAGCUCCUGCUCUAGGGGAGCUCGGCCAUGGAGGCCGCUGGGAGAUGGGAGCCGCUGCUCGCCUGCAGGGGACGCGCCCAUGGGGAGGAGGUCAGGGAGCGCCGGCGUUGAGGGAGCUCGGCGGCCAUGGGAGGCCCCUGCGCUGGCUGCUGUUGUGGUGCUCGGUGUAGGAGCACGGCGGCCAUGGGAGGUGCUGGCGGAUCCGCCACCGGCGGUGCGGAUCCAGGGAGAAGAGGGCCGUCCGCUUCCACGCGCACCCGCGCCGCGCGCCGUCGGAGCUGGGGGCUGCGCGCCGAGGCUGGGCAGCCACGCCCGCGCCGAGCUGCGAGGGGCCGCGCCCGUCACAGCCGCGCCAUUGGAAGGGGCCGCCCCGGGAGGGAGGAGCCUCCCGGGGGCGGCGGCGGCUCAGGUGGGAGGCGGCUGCUC
rnacentral:misc_RNA from 1 species